UACGUAGGGGGCUAGCGUUGUCCGGAUUUAUUGGGCGUAAAGAGCGUGUAGGCGGCCAGAUAGGUCUGCUGUGAAAAACUCGAGGCUCAACCUCGAGAUGUCGGCGGAAACCAUUUGGCUAGAGUCCGGAAGAGGAAAGUGGAAUUCCUGGUGUAGCGGUGAAAAUGCGCAGAUAUCAGGAGGAACACCGAUGGCGAAGGCAGGUCUCUGGGCUGUAACUGACGUGAGGAGCGAAAAGCAUGGGGG
rnacentral:rRNA from 1 species